UCCUGAAUCUGUGAAUAUUGUUUGUUUCCUGUUGAACUGCAGAUGUCUCCUCUUCUCUGUGAAGUCUAUUCUCAGUGUUUGAGGACUAGAGGCUUCAAACUUAAACACUUCUAUAAAGCUAAGUUUCCUGAAAUGUCAUUAAUAUACUAUUAAACUGAAACUACUGAAUAUGAUUUGAAGGAAACAUAAUGCUGCUUGAAUCACAUGAUAAAAUUGUUUAUUAACAUAUCUGGUGAGUCAGAAAAAUGGUAAUACUGGAAGUGUAUGUUAAAGGCAUUUCAUAUUUUUGAUGAUGAAUGUCAAAAGAAAGCAGCACCUCCUGCUGGUCUUAAUGGUAUCUAACUCACAUGAAGGGUCUUAAACUCUCCAACACAAUUUUAAUGGGUGGAGGACUUUAACAUGUUUACACAACUGGCCACUUCAACAACUGAUUAAAAUAAUUGCACUAUUUUCUGUCAGUGUGGAUUGGUCCUUUAAAUACAGUAAAUAAUCCUCCUAAUGUGUGUUUCUUUGACUCUAGAGCCCUCUGGUGGAAUAAAGCCCACAUGACACUCUGUGAGGUUUCAGCUUUUAUUCAGCAGAGAGGAAACCAGCUGUACCUUCAAAAACAGAAGUGUUGAUGUUCACUGAAGCAUCAACAGGACCUGAAGCUACGAGACAUUUGAACAGAAGAUCGUCGGUUUCUUCUCCGGUCAGUUGAAAA